AUGGAACGCUUUUCCGAUGGUCAGAGCUCACUUACCUGUCACCAUCGUCGCCUUCCGCUUGUCUCGGAGCUGCAUCCCGAAGGUGCCUCAGACUCCUCCAGAACACAUCUUGGAACUACAGAAGGCACAGUCCCCGAUCACAGCUCGCCUUUGAAGCCCAGCUUUUGCAAGGCAAAGCAAACCCAUGCAGAUGAAGCUGCAGAAACACGGGUUCACUCUGUUUUCAGCUUUAUUAUCACAGGCUGCCAAACUCAUGCCAGGAUAUCCUGGCAGCAGGGGAUGGUCCCUGUUCCGGGCACAUGGCACCCCCUGAGGAUGGGGAAGGCUUUCCCUGCAGGCUGGAUGUCCCUUUUUGUGUUCUGGUGAUUAGAGAGCAGCUCUCAGAUUUCCUAAGAGCCCGAACGUUAUUACAACAAUUACUGUCUUGCUUCAUUCUAAAACGUCUUCACUGCCAUAUUUAGCAAUGUGAACUGCAAGGUUGAAGCAGAUUCAUCACCUGGGCAAUGCACAGGAUUGGCUGUUUCUGUUUUUGAAGCAGAAAAGUGUCAGCAAGAUCAGAGCUUGCAGCAAGGGAGGAUUCCGCAGUGUUUUGGCUGCAGGUGUGAAGGUGGAGGUGCUUCUGUCAGGGGAAGGGUCUUGGAAGAGCUGACAUUUCCCCCUUCCUGACGUGGAUUACUCCAGUCACUGUGUGGUGCCUGUCACUAACAGGGGAGCAAGGAGGAAAGCAUCUACUUAAGAGCUGAUUUUAAAAGCUCAGUGCUUUUUCCCUCUGUACCCAAGUUCCUCACCGUGUGCUGAUGAGGGAGUGUAGUUCCAGUGUCUGGCUGAGCCUGUCCUGGUGUCUUCAGUCCCCCCUGUGCCCUGCUGGCUCUGUGCAGGUGCCAUCAUGUGGGUCAGACCUUGGCUGCUGGACUUGUCUGCCCAGCUCUUGUUCAGGAUGCAAAUCACUGCUUUGCAUUUCUAAUUAAUUGAAGCACUGUUGUGUGUUGUGAGAGUUUUCUGUGUCCUCAGAACUGUGGGAGCCUGCAUGGAGGGCUGUGUGUAGCUGGCCAAGGGUUAGGAUGUCUCUGAAGAGCAGUUUGUCCCUGGGCACUCAGGAAUUACCAGCCUGUCCUUCUGAGGAGAGGCAGUCCAAAGACUGGAGGGUGCAUGUGUCAGGUGAGGAUAUAAAAUACCUCCUUUUUCUGAAACACAAGUAAAAUAAAAAAUUUGUAUAAGCAUUUAUGUACA
rnacentral:lncRNA from 1 species